GAGGAAUUCAUGCCUUGCAAAGGGGAGGAGCCUGCCCUCUUGAGCUCUUGUGGUGACCUGGGAAUCAAUGUGUGAGGUGGUGCUAUGUAGCAGGAACCCCUCUUGCUUUGCAAAUAGUUUUUUGUUUGUUUUCCUUUUUGCCCAAUAGAGCCCUGCUCUACUGACCCUUCAAUGUGCCCGUGUGCCUAAAUAUUCCUGGUCGUGUGAAAAGAACCCAGGUAUUAGCUGAACUAAGGAGCACAAUUCUGCAACAUUUUGGCACCCAAACACGGGGCUUGAGAAAUGAAUGCAAUUGGAGAAACUGGUUGUUUUACCAGGCGUUGAUUGGAAAUGUGUGCUUCCCUUUAAGCAGUCAAGCUCAACUUGCAGAACUGAUGGGAACCCCUUGGGAAAACUGGCCUCAAAUGUUUGUCUACACAGUCCACAUACAGGGUUCUUAACCUGCGGAAACACUUUCUGAAAAUGUCAGAACUCUUGAAAACAUGGAUGAGGAAAAGCAUAAGUACUGCUUUAUGCUUUUCUUAUGAAUUUUAAAAGAUGUAAUUUAAAGAUUGAAACUCCCACAACUUUGGCAGACCAACUCCUCAGAAAACAUUAUUCUUUGACAUCAAUAUGUUUUGCACAAAAUUGAAUGGCAAGUGAAAGGCAUCAAAUGAUGGAGUCUUGUUCUGUGGUCCAGGCUAGAGGGCAGUGGCAUGAUCUCGGCUCACUACAAGCUCUGCCUCCCGGGUUCACGCCAUUCUCCUGCCUCAGCCUCCUGAGUAGCUGGGACUACAGGCGCCCGCCACCACGCCUGGCUAAUUUUUUGUAUAUUUACUAGAGAUGGCUAGUGUUAGCCAAGAUGGUCUCGAUCUCCUGACCUCGUGAUCUGCCCACCUCAGCCUGCCAAAGUGCUGGGAUUACUGGCGUGAGCCACCGUGCCUGGCCAGCAUCCUCUAAUUAUUAUUCAUAGUUUGUGAAUUUAGGCCUACGUGAAUAAUAAUAUAAUAUUUACUAUGAUGUUACUAUCUACCAACCUUAUUUUUCUUUUCUAUAAAAUAGGAGCCAAAAUAAUAUUUAUGUCAUACCUUAUGAAGUUAAAAUAAAAUAUAACGAAUGAGGGGCUUAACAA
rnacentral:lncRNA from 1 species